rnacentral:rRNA from 1 species
AUUGAACGCUGGCGGCAGGCCUAACACAUGCAAGUCGAGCGGGGACUUCGGUCCUAGCGGCGAACGGGUGAGUAAUGCUUGGGAAUCUGCCCAGUAGUGGGGGAUAACGUCCCGAAAGGGACGCUAAUACCGCAUACGUCCUACGGGAGAAAGAGGGGGAUCUUCGUACCUCUCGCUAUUGGAUGAGCCCAAGUCGGAUUAGCUAGUUGGUAGGGUAAUGGCCUACCAAGGCGACGAUCCGUAGCUGGUCUGAGAGGAUGAUCAGCCACACUGGAACUGAGACACGGUCCAGACUCCUACGGGAGGCAGCAGUGGGGAAUAUUGGACAAUGGGCGAAAGCCUGAUCCAGCCAUGCCGCGUGUGAAGAAGGCCUUCGGGUUGUAAAGAACUUUAAGCGGGGAGGAAGGUUCGCGGCCUAAUACGUCGCGGAAUUGACGUUACCCGCAGAAUAAGCACCGGCUAACUCUGUG